GACAUAGGUGGCGAACGUUAUCCGGAAUUACUGGGCGUAAAGCGCACGUAGGCGGCUUUGCAAGUUAGAGGUGAAAGCCCGGGGCUCAACUCCGGAAUUGCCUUUAAAACUGCAUCGCUAGAAUUGUGGAGAGGUGAGUGGAACUGCGAGUGUAGAGGUGAAAUUCGUAGAUAUUCGCAAGAACACCAGUGGCGAAGGCGGCUCACUGGCCCGAUACUGACGCUGAGGCACGAAAGCGUGGGGAGCAAACAGG
rnacentral:rRNA from 1 species